AUGGCAAGCUCCCAGGGAGGGCCGUACUGUUUUGAGGGCCUCUUGUCUGAGGCGUUGCGGUCCGUGCGAGCUGCCGUGCCCCGCCCGGCCUCUGCGCCCGCGGACUCCGGCUCGUCUCGGCCGUGCUCUGUGCCACCUGCGAGCCUCCCAGCGGGCCCCCGUCCUGCGGCCGGCAGCUACCCCAUGGCCUCGCUGGACGCGGGCGACCUGCGCUCGGACGUCACCCAGGCCGUGCUGCGCGAGAAGCUCAGCCCUGCGGGCCUGUGCUCUCCAUCCGGUCCGCCCCGGUGUGAUCACCGCCGCUCCCGGGUUUGGCCUACAGCGACUCCCAGCGGCCGGCGGACGCUGAGCGGGCCUCGCACGCCAUCAACUUCGAUGUGAUUAAGGGAGAGCCAGUCCGUGUCAUGUGGUCUCGGAGAGACCCCUCUUUGAGAAAAUCUGGUGCGGGAAACGUCUUCAUCAAGAACCAGGACAGAUCUACAGAUAACAAGGCACUUUAUGAUACUUUUUCUGCUUUUGGAAACAUUCUGUCCUGUAAGGUGGUGUGUGAUGAGAACGGCUCUAAGGUUACGCCUUCGUGCACUUCGAGACCCAAGAGGCUGCCGACAAGGCCAUCGAGAAGACGAAUGGCAUGCUCCUCGAACCGCAAAGUGUUUGUGGGCAGAUUCAAGUCUCGCAAAGAGCGGGAAGCUGAGCUUGGAGCCAAAGCCAAGAAUUCGCCAAUGUGUGUAUCAAGAACUUUGGGGAAGAGGUGGAUGAUGAGAGUCUGAAAGAGCUUUUUAGCCAGUUUGGUAAGACACUAAGUGUCAAGGUGAUGAGAGAUCCCGGUGGGAAAUCCAAAGUCUUUGGCUUUGUGAGUUACGAAAAGCACGAGGAUGCCAAUGAGGCCGUGGAAGAGAUGAACGGAAAAGAAAUCAGUGGUAAAGUCAUAUUUGUAGGCCGUGCUCAGAAGAAAGUGGAAUGGCAGGCAGAGUUAAAACGGAAAUUUGAGCAGCUGAAACAGGACAGAAUUAGUCGAUAUCAGGGGGUGAAUCUAUACAUUAAGAACUUGGAUGACACUAUUGAUGAUGAGAAAUUAAGGAAAGAGUUUUCUCCUUUUGGAUCAAUCACCAGCGCUAAGGUAAUGCCGGAGGAUGGAAGAAGCAAAGGGUUUGGCUUCGUCUGCUUCUCAUCUCCUGAAGAGGCAGCCAAAGCAGUCACUGAGAUGAAUGGACGCAUCGUGGGCUCCAAGCCACUGUACGUUGCCCUGGCCCAGAGGAAGGAAGAGAGAAAGGCUCACCUGACCAACCAAUAUAUGCAGCGGGUGGCUGGAAUGAGAGCACUCCCUGCCAGUGCCAUCUUAAAUCAGUUCCAGCCUGCAGCUGAUGGCUGCUUUGUGCCAGCAGUCCCACAGGCUCAAGGAAGACCUCCGUAUUAUACACCUAACCAGUUAGCACAGAUGAGGCCGAGCCACGCAGGCAGCAAGGUGGGAGACCUCAAGGCUUCCAAGGAAUGCCAACUGCUAUACGCCCGUCUGGGCCUCGUCCAACUCUCCGCCAUCUGGCUCCAACUGGUAAUGCUCUGGCCUCUCCUGGUCUCCCUACUAUUACUCAGAGAGUCGGGUCUGAGUGCCCAGACCGCUUGGCUAUGGACUUUGGUGGGGCUGGUGCCUCCCAGCAAGGGCUGACUGACAGCUGCCAGUCUGGAGGCGUUCCCACAGCUGUGCAGAACUUAGCGCCACGUGCUGCUGUUGCUGCUGCCGCUGCUCCUCGGGCUGUUGCGCCAUGCAAAUACGCCUCCAGUGUCCGCAGCCCUCAUCCCGCGAUACAGCUUCUGCAGCCACCCUAGCCUGCAGUCCACGUGCAGGGGCAGGCGCCUCUGACUGCCUCCAUGCUGGCCGCAGCACGCCCCCAAGAACAGAAGCAGAUACUGGGAGAACGUCUGUUCCCGCUCAUCCAAACAACGCAUUCAAACCCGGCUGGAAAGAUUACGGGAAUGCUGCUGGAGAUCGACAACUCUGAACUGCUGCACAUGCUGGAGUUCCCUGAGUCUCUCCGCUCCAAGGUGGAUGAAGCUGUGGCAGUUCUACAGGCUCAUCAUGCCAAGAAAGAAGCUGCCCAGAAAGUGGGUGCUGUUGCUGCUGCUACCUCUUAGACAAGGAAAAACCGA